GAUGAGGAUUAGGUAGUCAAAUAUUCUUCCUCCUGCUUUUGAACACACUCCCUCUUCCACAGCCAGUUCCAGGACUAAUUCUAGUCCAGGACUGAGGUUCAGGGCCAGCCAGGGUGGGAGCCUGGAGAGCAUAGACUCUCAUCCUACCACUUUGCCCGGCCAGGCGCCCCACUUCCCCCCUCAUGUGGGAAGCAGUUCACCAGGAAGCUCCAGCCUUAAAAUGUUCAAACCUUAAACUCAUAGAAGUUGACCUGAAUUCCUGCAGGUUCUUCUCUAGAGAGGGGUUCUGGGUGACACUUACAGGGCUACACUGGGAAUGUGGGAGUGGUGCAGUCGAUAGAGAGGGAGUCCUUUAUUUUUUCCUGGCCCCACUGCCACAGACACUGCUUCUGGCCAGGCAGCUAUUGUGGCUUGGGUUGCCAAUCCCUACCUUGCAGCCUUUCGUGCAGGACCGGAUAGAGUACUCUUCUGCCUAGUCCUUUGGAUAUAUGCCCAGGAGUGGUAUGGCUGAAUCAUGUAGAAACUCAAGUUUCAGCUUUGUGAGAAACACAACACAAAUUUCCAUAGUGACCACCUCAAUUUACACUCCAACCAGCAUCUAAGGGAUUAGGAAAAUCAUGCCUCUUACUGGAAGUCUGUGUCUUCUUGUUGUGCCUAACUACAAUUUUACUGCUUGAGCAAGAUCUGUGGCGAUGCCUGGACUCAGGUUUCUUUAAUGGAUUGACCACUGGGAAUUUGACCAUACUCCAGUGAGUAUAUGGGCAAUAUAUAUUGUAC